UACAGAGGUCUCAAGCGUUGUUCGGAUUCAUUGGGCGUAAAGGGUGCGUAGGCGGCGCGGUAAGUCGGGUGUGAAAUUUCGAGGCUUAACUUCGAAACUGCAUUCGAUACUGCCGUGCUUGAGGACUGGAGAGGAGACUGGAAUUUACGGUGUAGCGGUGAAAUGCGUAGAUAUCGUAAGGAAGACCAGUGGCGAAGGCGGGUCUCUGGGCCACUGACUGACGCUGAGAAGCGAAAGCAUGGGGAGCGAACAGG
rnacentral:rRNA from 1 species